rnacentral:rRNA from 1 species
UUUGACCUCGAUCAGUAGAU